rnacentral:rRNA from 1 species
CAGUAGCCGCGGUAAUACGUAGGUGGCAAGCGUUGUCCGGAAUUAUUGGGCGUAAAGGGCUCGCAGGCGGUUUCUUAAGUCUGAUGUGAAAGCCCCGGCUCAACCGGGGAGGGUCAUUGGAAACUGGGAAACUUGAGUGCAGAAGAGGAGAGUGGAAUUCCACGUGUAGCGGUGGAAUGCGUAGAGAUGUGGAGGAACACCAGUGGCGAAGGCGACUCUCUGGUCUGUAACUGACGCUGAGGAGCGAAAGCGUGGGGAGCGAACAGGAUUAGAUACCCCCGUAGUCCCUGUCUCUUAUACA